AGUGAACGCUGGCGGUAGGCCUAACACAUGCAAGUCGAACGGCAGCACAGUAAGAGCUUGCUCUUACGGGUGGCGAGUGGCGGACGGGUGAGGAAUACAUCGGAAUCUACUUUUUCGUGGGGGAUAACGUGGGGAAACUUACGCUAAUACCGCAUACGACCUACGGGUGAAAGCAGGGGAUCUUCGGACCUUGCGCGAUUGAAUGGGCCGAUGUCGGAUUAGCUAGUUGGCGGGGUAAAGGCCCACCAAGGCGACGAUCCGUAGCUGGUCUGAGAGGAUGAUCAGCCACACUGGAACUGAGACACGGUCCAGACUCCUACGGGAGGCAGCAGUGGGGAAUAUUGGACAAUGGGCGCAAGCCUGAUCCAGCCAUACCGCGUGGGUGAAGAAGGCCUUCGGGUUGUAAAGCCCUUUUGUUGGGAAAGAAAAGCAGCAGGUUAAUACCCCGCUGUUCUGACGGUACCCAAAGAAUAAGCACCGGCUAACUUCGUG
rnacentral:rRNA from 1 species